rnacentral:tRNA from 2 species
GGGCGUGUGGUCUAGUGGUAUGAUUCUCGCUUUGGGCGACUUCCUGCCUAAACAGGAGGACAAAGCAUGCGAGAGGCCCUGGGUUCAAUUCCCAGCUCGCCCC